CCUACGGGAGGCAGCAGUGAGGAAUAUUGCACAAUGGGGGGAACCCUGAUGCAGCGACGCCGCGUGGGUGAAGAAGCGCCUCGGCGCGUAAAGCCCUGUCAGCAGGGAAGAAAAUGACGGUACCUGAAGAAGAAGCCCCGGCUAACUACGUGCCAGCAGCCGCGGUAAUACGUAGGGGGCAAGCGUUAUCCGGAUUUACUGGGUGGAAAGGGGGCGCAGACGGCGAUGCAAGCCAGGGGUGAAAGCCCGGGGCCCAACCCCGGGACUGCUCUUGGAACUGCGUGGCUGGAGUGCAGGAGGGGCAGGCGGAAUUCCUGGUGUAGCGGUGAAAUGCGUAGAUAUCAGGAGGAACACCGGUGGCGAAGGCGGCCUGCUGGACUGCAACUGACGUUGAGGCCCGAAAGCGUGGGGAGCAAACAGGAUUAGAUACCCUUGUAGUC
rnacentral:rRNA from 1 species